UGGGGAGCAAACAGGAUUAGAUACCCUGGUAGUCCACGCCGUAAACGAUGUCUACUUGGAGGUUGUGCCCUUGAGGCGUGGCUUCCGGAGCUAACGCGUUAAGUAGACCGCCUGGGGAGUACGGCCGCAAGGUUAAAACUCAAAUGAAUUGACGGGGGCCCGCACAAGCGGUGGAGCAUGUGGUUUAAUUCGAUGCAACGCGAAGAACCUUACCUGGUCUUGACAUCCACAGAAUUCUGCAGAGAUGCGGAAGUGCCUUCGGGAACUGUGAGACAGGUGCUGCAUGGCUGUCGUCAGCUCGUGUUGUGAAAUGUUGGGUUAAGUCCCGCAACGAGCGCAACCCUUAUCCUUUGUUGCCAGCGGUUAGGCCGGGAACUCAAAGGAGACUGCCAGUGAUAAACUGGAGGAAGGUGGGGAUGACGUCAAGUCAUCAUGGCCCUUACGACCAGGGCUACACACGUGCUACAAUGGCGCAUACAAAGAGAAGCGACCUCGCGAGAGCAAGCGGACCUCAUAAAGUGCGUCGUAGUCCGGAUUGGAGUCUGCAACUCGACUCCAUGAAGUCGGAAUCGCUAGUAAUCGUG
rnacentral:rRNA from 1 species